CAAGGAAUCUGAUAAACCACUAAUAUGAUACAUCAAAUUAGUAUCAAGUUCAUUAAAAACCAAGAAAAUAGAAGCAAACUUCAUUCUUGUGUGUCUUAACAUCUUAUGACUUUAGCCUCAAUUUGUUCUUGGUUUGAAACCAAGAACAUGAACAGGACUAUUUCGUCCAAACAAUUCCACUCUUUAGCCAAAAAUAUUUCGAUAGAAAUUUCAAAAGGCCACUAGAAUUUCGUUCAAAAUUUUAAAGGAAUUCAGGCGAAAUUUUGUUCAACAUAUUUCAUGGAAGCAGAAGCUUCAUUCCGUUCAAAUAAUUCCAGGAACAGGUAUGUUAAGGCCAUCCUUUCUUUCUUUUGGAAUGGUCCAAAUUAUACUACAGAAACAAGCAAAUACACAUUUUUCUAUAAAUUAUUCUAUUCAUAGAAAUAGUAGGGGUGUCUAUAUUCCUGAUUCCCCAUGAGAAUUAUUAUUAUCUUCUGUUCAUGGGUCUCAAAAUAAUACGCAGUUGAAAAAGUUUAUCCGGAAGGAAUCGAGAUUAUUAUGUAUUUUUCAUGCAUUUCACUCAUUUAUACAUGUGCAUUGACUCAUGACCAGAAGGAGUUAUAUACGCGUAUAUAUGUAUGUAUGUAUAUGUAUAUGGGAUAUGAAAAAAGGUUACGGCGUUAUAUAUGCACCACCAUCUGAUCAGCUGGUAUAUGAUGAUGAUGUUGCCCAUAAUGGCUGAAAUAUGAUUCAAACGGCGUAUAUACAUGUAUGUAUGUAUAUAUAUGUAUAUAUGUAUAUAUGUAUAUAUAUAUAUAUGUAUAUAUGUAUAUAUGUAUAUAUAUGUAUAUAUGUAUAUAUAUAUGUAUAUAUGUAUGUAUGGGAUAUGGGAAUGUUUAUGGCGUUAUAUAUGCAUCACCACCUGACCAGCUGGUAUACGAUGUUAAUUUUGCCCGUAGUGAUUGAUAUGACAUGAUGGGAUGCCCUCAGAUGCUGAUGAUAUUAUGAAACAUGUACCUAUGCACGACAUGACAUUCAUACGCAUAUGCAUGACGCUAAAAGUAAAUUAUGAUUUAUAAAGUUAUUCAGACUUACAGGUUGAGUCAUGUACCCUAUAUUUCUUUCAUGUCUCUUAUGUAUUUAUUUCUGUGCCUUACAUACUCGGUACAUUAUUCGUACUGACGUCCCUUUUGCAUGGGGACGUUGCAUUUCAUGCCGCAGGUCAAGAUAGACAGGUCGACAGCCCUCCAAGUAGGCUAUCAGCUCAGCGGAAGAUGUUGGUGCGCUCCAUUUGCUUCGGAGUUGCGUGUUUGGUUAGUAUGAUUUAGACGUGUAUUGCUUGGUAUGGCGGGACUCUGUCCCGACCUUUAUGACAUUUAUGUACUCUUAGAGACUUGUAGACAUAUGUCGUGUACGUGAAAGAUUGUGCGGCCUUGUCGGCCUAUGUUUCGUGUUUAUAAAAUAUCAUGUUGGCCUAUUAGGCUCGUAUGUCACGUNNNNNNNNNNNNNNNNNNNNNNNNCG
rnacentral:lncRNA from 1 species